rnacentral:rRNA from 1 species
GAUGAACGCUGGCGGCGUGCCUAAUACAUGCAAGUCGAGCGAACGGACGAGAAGCUUGCUUCCCUGAUGUUAGCGGCGGACGGGUGAGUAACACGUGGAUAACCUACCUAUAAGACUGGGAUAACUUCGGGAAACCGGAGCUAAUACCGGAUAAUAUUUUGAACCGCAUGGUUCAAAAGUGAAAGGCGGUCUUGCUGUCACUUAUAGAUGGAUCCGCGCUGCAUUAGCUAGUUGGUAAGGUAACGGCUUACCAAGGCAACGAUGCAUAGCCGACCUGAGAGGGUGAUCGGCCACACUGGAACUGAGACACGGUCCAGACUCCUACGGGAGGCAGCAGUAGGGAAUCUUCCGCAAUGGGCGAAAGCCUGACGGAGCAACGCCGCGUGAGUGAUGAAGGUCUUCGGAUCGUAAAACUCUGUUAUUAGGGAAGAACAUAUGUGUAAGUAACUGUGCACAUCGUGACGGUACCUAAUCAGAAGGCCACGGCUAACUACG